UACGUAGGUGGCAAGCGUUGUCCGGAUUUACUGGGUGUAAAGGGCGUGCAGCCGGGCUGACAAGUCAGAUGUGAAAUCCCGCGGCUCAACCGCGGAACUGCAUUUGAAACUGUCAGUCUUGAGUACCGGAGAGGUCAUCGGAAUUCCUUGUGUAGCGGUGAAAUGCGUAGAUAUAAGGAAGAACACCAGUGGCGAAGGCGGAUUACUGGACGAUAACUGACGGUGAGGCGCGAAAGCGUGGGGAGCAAACAGG
rnacentral:rRNA from 1 species